AACGAACGCUGGCGGCAUGCCUAACACAUGCAAGUCGAACGAGACCUUCGGGUCUAGUGGCGCACGGGUGCGUAACGCGUGGGAACCUGCCCUUAGGUUCGGAAUAACUCCCCGAAAGGGGUGCUAAUACCGGAUAAUGUCUUCGGACCAAAGAUUUAUCGCCUUUGGAUGGGCCCGCGUUGGAUUAGCUAGUUGGUAGGGUAAAAGCCUACCAAGGCGACGAUCCAUAGCUGGUCGGAGAGGAUGAUCAGCCACACUGGGACUAAGACACGGCCCAGACUCCUACGGGAGGCAGCAGUGGGGAAUAUUGGACAAUGAGCGAAAGCCUGAUCCAGCAAUGCCGCGGGAGUGAUGAAGGCCUUAGGGUUGUAAAGCUCUUUUACCCGGGAUGAUAAUGACAGUACCGGGAGAAUAAGCUCCGGCUAACUCCGUG
rnacentral:rRNA from 1 species